rnacentral:tRNA from 1 species
AGCGAGAUGGCGCAGCUGGUAGCGCGCUGGGCUCAUACAAACGCAGUGUCACCCAGAGGUCGUCGGAUCGAAACUGACUCUCGCUA